CUUUGAAAAGCUUCUCUGUGCAGUCCGCUGCAGGGGUCUACGGUCCCGCACCUCAGCGACGAAAGAGUUAGGGUUUACUCCUCAUGGCAGGUCCCGGCAUACAUCACUUCCACCAGCCAUGGGCUCAGCUUGCGCCCCCGCCGCCAUCAAUCUCUACUCCUCCAUCCAUCGCCGUUCCUGCCCGCCCAACGAACGACGAGGUUCGGACGAUCUUCAUCGCUGGCCUUCCUGCAGACGUGAAGGAGAGGGAGCUUCAUAACCUUCUGCGUUGGCUGCCUGGCUUCGAGGCGUCUCAGAUCAACUCGAAAGGGGAUCUGCCCAUGGGUUUCGCUCUUUUCUCCACUGCCCAGCAUGCUAUGGCCGCUAAAACUGCGCUCCAGGACUUGGUGUUUGAUGCGGAUUCAAAGUCCGCUCUUCAUACAGAGAUGGCGAAGAAAAAUCUUUUUGUUAAGAGAGGUGUUGGGGCUGAUUUCAGCUCCUUUGACCAAAGCAAACGCAUAAGAACUGGUGGGGAAUAUGCUCAAUCUGGUUAUCCAAGUCCUCCCUUGCACCCACAGCCCGCUUCCCUUUGGGCAACAUCAGGGUAUAUGGCUCCCCCUGUUCUUUAUGCCCCAUAUGGAGGAUAUCCAGUUACCCAGGUGGCUUUGCCUACCCCUGCUCCUGUGCCACCUCCAACGGUUUAUGCUCCUGUUCAGAAUACAAAAGACAAUCCUCCUUGUAAUACUCUUUUCGUUGGGAAUCUUGGAGAAAGUGUGAUAGAGGAAGAACUGAGAGGCCUCUUUAGCCUACAGCCGGGUUAUAAACAAAUGAAGAUCCUGCGUCAUGAAAGAAACACUGUUUGCUUUAUUGAGUUUGAUGAUGUAGCUAGUGCUACGAGCGUUCACAUAAAUUUACAGGGUGCUGUUCUGCCCAGUGCUGGUCGUACCGGCAUCAGGAUCCAGUUUUCAAAAAACCCCUUUGGGCGACGGAAGGACAUGAAUGGCACCGCUGCAGAAACCAAAGGAUGACUUAGCAGUCAAUUGAAGCAAUGUGCUGCUCUUUGGGCUUUCCCAUGAAGGCUAACAAAACCAAAAACAGUAAGUAUUUGUUGGUUUGAGUUAUGUGCAGAAUUAUUUUUGGUGAAGUUCUUGGUCAAAAGAUUGAACAGUGGAGCCAGCAGGCGUUGCUCAGAAUUUCUUUAACUGGGUAACAUUCAUGUUAAGUGCCUCAUUUUUGCCGGUGCUGAUACAAGAACAACCGUUGCUUUUAAUAUUCUAUCUUAGGCGUCGUUUGGGACGGCUUUAUUAUUGCUUUAUAAAAUAGUUUUUUAGUACAAAAAUUUUAAUUUUUUUAUUCGAAAGCUACGUUAAGAAGUAGUAAGAAAGCCGUACCAAACGAAGCCUUAAAAGCAGGCAAAAUUUUGUAGUUCAAAUAUUAAUCUUAGAAUCAAUAUGCCUCUUCUCCUGACAUUUAAGCCAUUUUAUUGAGUUCAAGUAGUGCAAUGAAAUUUUAAGCGAAGAUCUAUGUUCCUCUUGUUUAUGUCCCAUUUGUUACUAUUUGAUGGUUCUAAACAUCUACAAAUGAAGUAAUUAAAAAGCUAAUAAUAUUUUGCAUUUGCAAUCUUGAUAGAGUUUGAUAUGUUGAAAUCACUGAUCACUUUGUAAAAUGAAACCUGUGACAUGGUAAGCCCAUUGCCUAUUAAAAAUCUCAUCAUUUGUGUCACUCCAUUUCAGUUUUUGGAUUGAGAUUUGAGCAUCUAUAUAACACCAAAAACAGGAUUUCUUUUAUUUAAAGAUUUCAAUUGUUUUGGAUAAUUGGAUGAAUCUUUAGUAGAAUUGAGAUUGGAAUUCCUUCUAAUCCCUUUUGUCUUAAUAUUAAUAAAAUCCUUGUUUUAUGGGUGAGUAGUGAUUUAAUAAUUCCUUAAAACGUUCAUCCAAAACAAUUAAAUAAAAUUUUAAAAUAUUUAUAAUUUAAGAAAUUUUAGCUUCUCAUUUUUUCUUCCCAUGAAUUUUUUUUAUUUUAAUUUUUAGGGACUCGCCUUAGCUAGUUCCUCAGCAAAUAAUUUGGUUUUGAAAAUGAUAUUGAUUUUGCUAACCACUACAGAACAGUGGAGCUGACAAUGUAGCUUCUAAUGGUGUAUUUGAGCCUUUUAAGUUCUUCAAAGGAGCAUUGGAGCAGGAUGAUCAUGCAGAUGUAGCUUCCAAAGAGAGACUGGUCAGCCAAUUUUGCUAUUUGAUGCCCUUCUGAAUCAAAGAGGAGGAUCGCCUCUACAAACAAUAACAACAUCAAGCCUUUAUCCCACUACGUGGGGUUGGCUACAUGAAUUCUUUGAGAAGCCAGGAAAAGUAAGUCAAUAAAGAAUCAUGUGAGCAAAGGUACUCAUACAAACCGACGCGGUGGCUAGUGAUAGCCAACGGCGGCGCAGGUGAUGGGCAGUGGCGGUGCUAAUUGAAAUUCGUCUGGGAUAAAUUUUUUUCCUGCUUUUUAAAACAGUUUUUUAGUAUAAUUUUUUUUUAAAAUUUUAAAAAA